CCUACGGGAGGCAGCAGUGGGGAAUAUUGCGCAAUGGGCGAAAGCCUGACGCAGCGACGCCGCGUGAGGGAUGAAGGUCUUCGGAUCGUAAACCUCUGUCAGCAGGGAAGAACGGUCACUGUGCUAAUCAGCAGUGAAUUGACGGUACCUGCAAAGGAAGCACCGGCUAACUCCGUGCCAGCAGCCGCGGUAAUACGGAGGGUGCGUGCGUUAAUCGGAAUUACUGGGCGUAAAGCGAUCGUAGGCGGUAUGUCAAGUCAAGGGUGAAAUCCCCGCGCUCAACGUGGGAACUGCAUUUGAUACUGGCAAACUGGAGUGUGUGAGAGGAGAGUGGAAUUCCAGGUGUAGGAGUGAAAUCCGUAGAUAUCUGGAGGAACAUCAGUGGCGAAGGCUACUAUCUGGAACAUAACUGACGCUGAGGAGCGAAAGCGUGGGUAGCAAACAGGAUUAGAUACCCCUGUAGUC
rnacentral:rRNA from 1 species